rnacentral:lncRNA from 1 species
ACUGAUCCUACAGAAGUGCCUAGCACCACGAGUUCGGGUUCAUACCCGUAAACCACUCCCUCUCUUUAUUCAUUUUUUUCCUUCUUCUUUUCUUUUUCUUUUUCCUUCUUUUCUUUUUUUUUCUUUUCCUUCUUUUCUUUUUCUUUUCUUUUCUACUCUUCUCCUCCAGUACCUUCUCCCGGCUCCACUAUUCCUUCCCCCCUUUCUUUCUUCUUUCUUUUUCUUUCUCCUCCUCUUCUCUUCUCCCGACUUCUUCUCCUCCUCUUCUCUCUUUUUUUUUUCUUCUUCUUUCUUCUCCCGCGAAGGGAGGUCGGCGAGCUCGGAAGAGGCCAAGUCGAGGCCGGCGGUGCCCGCGGCGGCCGGCCCUCUCAUUCUUCCCGCGGAGGAGGCAUGCGCACGGGAGAAGAAGAAGAGCCCGCGGCGGUUAGCCUUCUUCUUCUUCUUCCCUCUUUUUUUUUUGGUUCUCUCUUUCUCUCGGCACGGUAGCCCGAGGAGGAAGAACGAGACUCGAGCGUGGCAGCUCUACAUCGGGUGGUCUCAAAGGGGAGGAGGAGGACGCCCUAAAACUGGGGAUCCCGACUUCUUCGGGAGGGAACCCCCAUCUCCUCACUGUGUGCCCUCACGUGCGACGCACGUGCGGCCAAAACUGGUGGCUGGGCCGGUCAAGUGGACCAGGCCCAGUUCGAUUCAAAGCUUGGGUUUCACAUUCUUCCUCCCUUAAAAUAAUUUCGUCCUCGAAAUUAACUCACUUAAGGCUUCAAAUUUUUGAAAGUAUGGAAACAUCAUAUCAUUCCCGAGCUUCUAAACAAUCCCCAUCUUGAAAUGCUAGCUCACAAGAUUUUGGCAAAAAUAUGGCAUCUCAAAACUUAAUCCUUUCCAUCUAUGAUUCAUAGCAAGUUCUUUUGAUCUCUUUCAAAGUAAGACUAACUUUCCAGCCUUGGAUUUUAAAUUCAUAAUUCUUUGCCCAAGAAAUUAAUUGUUCAUGAUUAAUUCCACACAAGAAUCAUAAUCGGCUUAAUAGAAAUAGGUUAGAGCAUUAGCAUCAAAUACUUUUCAUAAUCCAUAAUCUUUUUUUUGCCCUUCUCUUAACUUUGCCCAUGAUUUAAUGAUCAACCUUUAUCCUAAAAAAAAAAACCCACCUCAAACCCUUUCGAACAGAUAGAUUGACGAUGUCAUAAUUAGGAGUAGGGAACCAAUGUUAAAGCAUUCCAGGUCUAAGCCUAACAAGGAGCCAUCAAUCUGUUAACACUAAAUUUAGGAUGCCCAAGAUUCUCCCAAGAACUGUCAACAAUAGAAAAACCCACUAGUGAAAAUUACAUAGCUACCUCCAGAUUAUUCAUAAAAUCAACAACAUUCUUCUCUACUAAAAGGCUAACUCAAGUCUUCCAAUAAUUCUACUUAUCAAUACAAUUUCAUCUUAUCAUAAGAAUAAGGUCCAAUACCUCCAAAUUUGGUUCUUUUUAUAGAUGAUGCAAAUCAAACUUCUCUCUCUCAUAAAUAAAAAUCAAUGUCUUAAUUUAGAACAUCAAAUUUCUUUGUCAAAAUAUCAACUACUCUUGAUUAAUCGAUCUAUCACAAGAUUAGGUCAUAAACAACUCUAAUCCACCCUUAGUAGAAUAUUUAUCAAGAUCGAUAGAUAACCUCAAUCUCUUUCAAUCAAAUAGUGGGUUGAUGUUAAUUGAAGAAGUACAAGCUUUGGAUUUAGGAGAAAAGAGGUAUACACCAAAAUAUUUUAGGUCCAAGAUCAUAAUCAAUGAUCUAGUAAUUCUAGUCUCAAGAUGUUACGCAUUUCUUUAGCACGACAUAAAAUUAGAGAACCUAAGAUAGUGCAGCGACAUCCAAAAAUUCUAAAUCAAAUCAAGUCUUUUGUUAUUAUAACUUGCCGAAUUAAAAGGAUAAUACUUCUGACCAACUUAGAAAAAUAGUUCAGACCACUACGCUUUCGCUGUGCACUCUGAUUCAAACCACCAUUUUUUUUUUGAAUUCACUAAUAACUUUUUUUUCUUUUUUUUAAUCAAAAUACUACCUUGUAUUUUGAACUAAGGAGAUCCAAAAUUUUAAUUUCCAAGUAAAGCCCAAAAGAACUUUUGGUUUCGUCCUCUAACUUCCCCCGAGUACAUCCAUCUAGACUGAUCCUCGAGUCAAUUGAUACGUUCAAAAACACCAUAUAGGCUAGUUACUAUAAUUCAAAAUAAAUUAAAUCUUAAUUCUCUCAUCUACUCAACUAGAUGAUUCCAAGUCAAACUCUUAUAAGUAAAAAUAACUAGAAAAAUGUUCUCAAUGCUCCACCAAGUCAGAAGACCUUAAAUCAAUAGAUAUAAGUAAAAUUGACUCGACGAUCUCUUCUAGAGUUUUCUUCAUUGAGAUCUAUGGCAUUUUUUUAUUAAAAAUCUUCCAUCAUAAUCAUGUAAGCCUCUAAAAUUCAAAUUUUUUUAUGCAAAUCUAGAUUUUAUUAGCAACCGCAACAAUAUUGACAAAAGACCCUAGAUCGGCAUAUACAUUACAUAAUUUUCGAUAAACAUGAACAAGAUCUAUUAUUUGAAUCCAAAGGUGAUAAUUUAAAUUAUUAAUAAUUUCACCGAGAUGAAUAUUUUAUAAUCUCCAAUAAAAUCAAUUCUUCGAGAUUGAUAUUUAUCCCUGAAUUCUUUCAAAAGAAUAAGCUACAAAUCAAAGAGAAAAUAGAUCUAUACUAAAUCAUUCCAAAUCCAAGAUUAGCUAAUGCGGGAACUAUUAAUCCUAGACUUAGAAUGCCAGAUUUCUCUCUCUCAUUUUUUUUUCAUAGCAGAUAGAAGAACCUACUAAUAACAUGAUAAUAUCCAUAUCAAUCAAAAUCAAAAACAAUAUUCUUUUCUUUGACAACGAAAUUCUUCUUAACAAGGAAACCCAUCAAAAAAUAUUUUCCAAUCAUAGAGUUAAUAUCGUUGAUCAUCUUAAAAUAAUUUAAACAACCAAUAGUCUCAUAAUUUACUAAAUCACCUCCAAUCAAAAUCCCAAUCUACAUUUAAAAUUUCUAAUUCUCGGUAAAGCCAAAGAAUAAUUCUAGAAUUUCAUCCGAAAUAUAUUCUCCAUCUACACAGGAGUUUCAUACAUGAUCCACAUACAGUUUUCAAUCCUCGAAGAAUAUUUUAAUGAAUAUCAUCAAAUAUAUAUAUAUAUAUAUAUACACACACACAUAUAUUUAGCCCAAACCUUAAACAACAUUUCAUAUGUGAACCUUAACUUGUCACCAAAUUAAUUAACUUCAAGCUAGAAGUAACAUCAUAGUACCCGAUAUCAAUUUGCACAUCCAAUAUACUUACAUUGCACGAUAAUAUUCCAUGACUAAUACUCUUUCACUUAACUUAGUCAAAAUCCAAUUAAUAAUAUCUUGAAAUACAAAUUACUACCAAGAAAACUCUCAAAAUAGUCUAUUUAUACUUUGGCUAUAAACACAGUUAGCUAGCAUUCUAAUUUCAGCAUCACAAAAUUCAGAUAAGAUAACACAAAUUUACCAUUAACAAAAGUAAACAAAGAUAUUUGUCUUCUUGCCCCAUCUCUCAAAUUUUUCGAUGAAUUCUACGAAUCCUAAAAGCUAAGCUUUGAUAUGACAAUUCAUUAUUCCCUAGUUAUCUUAAACCUAAGCUCUGAUACCAUAAAAGUUGUCACGCCCCCGGCCCGAGAUUGCAAGCCGGGGGUCCGCGCCAACCGCCGCACACUCGUAGGAAACUCUCCCCACGAGCAUGCAAGGCAUCUAAACCAAACACCUUAAUUAUGUAAUUCUAAAAUAAUUUAACUGAAUAAAUGCAAUCUUAUUCCAUUGGCUAACUCAAGUCAUAAGGUCUCACAAGUCUAAAUACGCAGCGGAAUAAUCAUUUACCAACAUGCAGAAACCUAGUUCUUAAAAUAACAAAAGUCCACCAAUAAUAAUAAAUGCCCAUAAUAACAAAUCAACUUAAAUAACCCUAAUCUAAGAUAACUUGUGCUACAAUCCUUCUAGUCGCUCUCCCAUUUUGAACCCUAGACUAGUUCUCAAAAUCUGUAAAACAACAAGAGAUGGUAUAAUGAGCUAGACAGCCCAGUAAGUAAUGAACACUCUAGCUAGAUAAAUCAAGCAAUAAUAUGUAGAAAAUAAAUAAAUAUGCAGUUCCAAAGUAUAAGUCAAAUAUUUCUUAAAUUCAUAAGAUUCUUUUCGCGAUUUCAAGAUUUUUUUACAUAUUCAAUUCAUCUUGUCGAUCCUGGACUAUGACCACAUGUUCCCUGUGGCAGGGUUAUCAACACCGACUAAUCUUCUUGCGGUGAGUCCCUCAGGAUAGUCAAUUGCCGACGUAUCUGCCCCCAUUGGCGGGGUCCUCAACAUAGCUAGGUCGAAGUUCAAUUAGUUCACUAUUUCAUAUUUCAGUCAUGAAAACAUGCAGUAUCAAAACUAAAUAUCGUUCAUAUCUUAAUUCUUUCAAUUUAUCAGAUUCAACUCAACAGCCAGGAACUAUGACCACAUGUUCCCUGUGGUAGGGUCAUAUCACCGACUAUUCUUCUUGCGGUACCCAUAUAUUAUCCCCCAUUGGCAGGGUCCUCAACAUAGCCCGACUGCAAGUCUGAAUCUAGUACAAGUCAUUAUCUUUUCUUACAUUAUGUUCAGUGUUUCAAGCCGAAAAAUACAAUGUCAGAGCAAUUAAAUACAAUUCGAACCAGAAGCAAAUACGUUCAAUCAGAGUCAUACAAUGUUCUAAAAAUAUACAUAUAAUCCAUGCAUCAAAUUCGUAAUCACAAAUAAUUCGAUUCGUAAAACAAAUAUUUAGUUUGCCGAUAAAUCUAGUAAAGAGGUUACAUCACUUACCUUGCGAACACGAUCCACAACAAAUCCAAUUAAUUCAACAAAUUCCGUGCAGAACCUAAUAUUCAAAAAUCAUAUUCUUCUUUUAAAAUUUAUCACAAUAUACGUAUACAAAACUUAAAUUUUAAUAUCCUCCCAUGGUUGAUCCUAUAGAAGUGCCUAGCAUCUCGAGUUCGGGUUCAUACCCGUAAACAACCCCCUCUCUUUAUUCAUUUUUUUCCCCUUCUUCUUUUCUUUUUCUUUUUCCUUCUUUUCUUUUUUUUUUCUUUUCGUUCUUUUCUUUUUCUUUUCUUUUCUUUUCUACUCUUCUCCUCCAGAACCUUCUCCCGGCUCCACUAUUCCUUCCCCCUUUCUUUCUUCUUUCUUUUUCUUUCUCCUCCUCUUCUCUUCUUCCGACUUCUUCUCCUCCUCUUCUCUCUUUUUUUUUCUUCUUCUUUCUUCUCCCGCGAAGGGAGG